rnacentral:snoRNA from 1 species
CUGGUCUUGGGCAGGUGCUGCAGUGUGGCCGUAUGCUGCAGUGUGCCUUGUUGGACCUAGACUAUAACGGAGGGGGUUCUGUGAAGCCUCUUCCCUGGCAGUUGCAGGUGUGAGCAUGUAUACAGCAUUUUGAUGCUCUUGUAUGAUACUGCAGACAAAC